rnacentral:siRNA from 1 species
UUCCCAAGAUGGUGUUUGGCC